GACGAUUAUUGGCAAACACCUUACAUUGGAGAAUUUUUCCUGUAGGAAAGAGCUGAUAGAGGGAAAUGUAGAUCUGGUAGCUGAUACCAAUGAAAGAAGAGGACACAAAGCUGAAGGAAAUUGCCCUGCCAUGGCAAGAGGAUGGACAGCAUAACCAGAGGAGAACUGAUCCAGGAUAAAAGUGGAGGAAACUUGCUUUUGUAAAAUACCUACCUACAUGUGACAAUUUUAUAGGAUGAUGUCAAGAUUUGAAAUAAUUUUCUUAGUACCAGCAGUAAAGCUGCUGGAGAAUUUCCACACAGAAGCUACCAGUGCUUCUGAUGGGUUUCUGCUUCUCAGAAUUUGCAGGAGACAGAAAACAGAAAUCAAGGAUCUCUCUCUCCCUCCCUUCACUGAAACCAACAACCAAAACCCUACAGCAUUUAUAGGCUCUGAAUCUGAUUGAUCUUCUGAACUGGGGGAAGUAUAUCAUUUCUAAAGGUAUUUAUUUAGUUGCCUUGUACCUGGGGACAUCCCUUGUUGAUGAAGACCUUCAGAAAAACCUGUUUUAGCUUUAAUUUUUCAUUACAGAGAGACGUGAUCCACUUUUUGGCUAUUUCAUUCUAAAGGACACCAGCUGAGCACCCAGCCCAGAAUGUCUGACAAGUCAGUUCAGUGCAACUGGUACCAGUCUGGAGAAAGCAGGGUGGGUCCUGAAGCUUCUGGAAAUACUGGAAGUAACAGACAGUUGGAUGGGUAUGACAGCAACCACCCAGCCUCCAGCUGGCCCUGAGCACAGUCACAGCUUCCAGGUACCUGUUUGCAAAAUGUCGUGCAGAGAUGCCAUCAGCUACCUGAGCUCCCACGUAGCAGAUAUGCUCCUCCACUAUAUGGCUCCAACCAUGACCAGUGCAGUCCCACACAAACCAGGAGCUGGAUCCAGGAAAAAAAAAAAAAAAAAAGGUAUUGCAGAACGGAAAAGAAGGUUUGUGUGUGUCUAACAUCGGGUGGGAGUACUGCUGUGUACAGAGCAGAGGUGUGUAUCUACCUGUGGGUCUGCAUCUUGUCAUCAGCAUCCAGAAGUAUGAGUGUAGCCCUUUGAUAUAUGUGCGCUGUAGAGAUUUUUACAUUGCAAGGGGCUUUCCCCUAAAUGUACUUUUUGCACCUUUUACAAGGGUGCAUUGCAGCUCUGCAGCUGCGUGUCUAGCAUGAAAUGACAGCCAUUUCUGCAGUCUUUGUGCUGCUGAACCUAUUUAAUUAGACAGAAUUGAAUUGAAUCUGCUAAGCAGUUAUUGUCAGGGCUGCUUUCUGUGCACGAACACAUUGUUUGGAAACCCACAGGAGUGCUGUGCUGGACAUGGGAACACUGUGCCUUCAGCUGACCCCCAGCCAGCUCCACAAAACAAUGACAAAAUAAGAAAGGGAUUUCAGGCACUAAUCUCAAGUCAGAAGUUCAAAAAGAGGCACGUUUGCCCAGCUCAACCAUCACGCAAAGGGGAAUAUGGUCCACUUCUGGCUGAGGUGGAUAAGGAAAGCUUGCGCUGCCUGGCACAGCUGCUCCUGAAUUGCAGGAACCUGAAAGUGAGCCCUCUGAAAGACAUUGCUAUGG
ensembl:lncRNA